AAACAGAAAGAUCCCAGGAUGGAGCCUGUGCCUGCCGACCGAUC
rnacentral:ribozyme from 1 species